CAUGGCUCAUGACGAACGCUGGCGGCGUGCCUAAUACAUGCAAGUAGAACGCUGAAGAGAGGAGCUUGCUCUUCUUGGAUGAGUUGCGAACGGGUGAGUAACGCGUAGGUAACCUGCCUUGUAGCGGGGGAUAACUAUUGGAAACGAUAGCUAAUACCGCAUAACAAUGGAUGACACAUGUCAUUUAUUUGAAAGGGGCAAUUGUUCCACUACAAGAUGGACCUGCGUUGUAUUAGCUAGUAGGUGAGGUAAUGGCUCACCUAGGCGACGAUACAUAGCCGACCUGAGAGGGUGAUCGGCCACACUGGGACUGAGACACGGCCCAGACUCCUACGGGAGGCAGCAGUAGGGAAUCUUCGGCAAUGGGGGCAACCCUGACCGAGCAACGCCGCGUGAGUGAAGAAGGUUUUCGGAUCGUAAAGCUCUGUUGUAAGUCAAGAACGGGUGUGAGAGUGGAAAGUUCACACUGUGACGGUAGCUUACCAGAAAGGGACGGCUAACUACGUGCCAGCAGCCGCGGUAAUACGUAGGUCCCGAGCGUUGUCCGGAUUUAUUGGGCGUAAAGCGAGCGCAGGCGGUUUGAUAAGUCUGAAGUUAAAGGCUGUGGCUCAACCAUAGUUCGCUUUGGAAACUGUCAAACUUGAGUGCAGAAGGGGAGAGUGGAAUUCCAUGUGUAGCGGUGAAAUGCGUAGAUAUAUGGAGGAACACCGGUGGCGAAAGCGGCUCUCUGGUCUGUAACUGACGCUGAGGCUCGAAAGCGUGGGGAGCGAACAGGAUUAGAUACCCUGGUAGUCCACGCCGUAAACGAUGAGUGCUAGGUGUUGGAUCCUUUCCGGGAUUCAGUGCCGCAGCUAACGCAUUAAGCACUCCGCCUGGGGAGUACGACCGCAAGGUUGAAACUCAAAGGAAUUGACGGGGGCCCGCACAAGCGGUGGAGCAUGUGGUUUAAUUCGAAGCAACGCGAAGAACCUUACCAGGUCUUGACAUCCCGAUGCUAUUUCUAGAGAUAGAAAGUUACUUCGGUACAUCGGUGACAGGUGGUGCAUGGUUGUCGUCAGCUCGUGUCGUGAGAUGUUGGGUUAAGUCCCGCAACGAGCGCAACCCCUAUUGUUAGUUGCCAUCAUUCAGUUGGGCACUCUAGCGAGACUGCCGGUAAUAAACCGGAGGAAGGUGGGGAUGACGUCAAAUCAUCAUGCCCCUUAUGACCUGGGCUACACACGUGCUACAAUGGUUGGUACAACGAGUUGCGAGUCGGUGACGGCGAGCUAAUCUCUUAAAGCCAAUCUCAGUUCGGAUUGUAGGCUGCAACUCGCCUACAUGAAGUCGGAAUCGCUAGUAAUCGCGGAUCAGCACGCCGCGGUGAAUACGUUCCCGGGCCUUGUACACACCGCCCGUCACACCACGAGAGUUUGUAACACCCGAAGUCGGUGAGGUAACCUUUUGGAGCCAGCCGCCUAAGUGGGACAGAUGAUUGGG
rnacentral:rRNA from 1 species